AUUGAACGCUGGCGGCAUGCCUUACACAUGCAAGUCGAACGGCAGCGCGGGGCAACCUGGCGGCGAGUGGCGAACGGGUGAGUAAUAUAUCGGAACAUACCCUAGAGUGGGGAUAACGUAGCGAAAGUUACGCUAAUACCGCAUACGCACUAAGGUGGAAAGUGGGGGAUUCGCAAGAACCUCAUGCUCAUGGAGUGGCCGAUAUCUGAUUAGCUAGUUGGUGAGGUAAAGGCUCACCAAGGCGACGAUCAGUAGCUGGUUUGAGAGAACGACCAGCCACACUGGAACUGAGACACGGUCCAGACUCCUACGGAGGCAGCAGUGGGGAAUUUUGGACAAUGGGGGCAACCCUGAUCCAGCAAUGCCGCGUGAGUGAAGAAGGCCU
rnacentral:rRNA from 1 species